AAGAGUUGCAAAGCUCCCUAAACCAUUGUGAACCUACCUUCAACCGUUGCUUCGGCGGGUUGGGCGCCGGGAGACCCGGCGCCCCCCUCGGGCCCUCACCUCGGGGGCGGCCCGCCGGAGGUACCCAACUCUUGAACACCGUAUGGCCUCUCUGAGUCUUCUGUACUGAAUAGGUCA
rnacentral:misc_RNA from 1 species